rnacentral:rRNA from 1 species
CGGGGUUGAUCCUGCCGGACCCCACUGCUAUUGGGGUGGGACUAAGCCAUGCGAGUUGGUGUCUCUUAGCUAUGGUGGAGAUACGGCGGACGGCUCAGUAACACGUAGCUAACCUGCUCUUGGGACGGGGACAACCCCGGGAAACUGGGGCUGACACCCGAUAGGUGAUUAGGCCUGUAAUGGUUUCUCGCCCAAAAGAUGAUGGAACCAUGCUUCUGUCGUCGCCCGAGAAUGGGGCUGCGGCCGAUCAGGUAGUUGGUGAGGUAACGGCUCACCAAGCCUAUAACCGGUACGGGCCGUGAGAGCGGUAGCCCGGAGAUGGGCACUGAGACAAGGGUCCAGGCCCUACGGGGCGCAGCAGGCGCGAAAACUCCGCAAUGCGCGAAAGCGUGACGGGGCUACCCCGAGUGCUGUCCGCUGAGGAUAGCUUUUCUUCGGUUUAAGGAGCCGGAGGAAUAAGGGGAGGGCAAGCCUGGUGUCAGCCGCCGCGGUAAUACCAGCUCCCCGAGUGGUGAGGAUAAUUAUUGGGCCUAAAGCGUCCGUAGCUGGCUUAGCAAGUCUUUUGUUAAAUCCGACGAUCCCAUCGUCGGACUGCAGGAGAUACUGCUAGGCUAGGGGGCGGAAGAAGUCGACGGUACUCCUGAGGUAGGGGUGAAAUCCUAUAAUCUUAGGAGGACCACCAGUGGCGAAGGCGGUCGGCUAGAACGCGCUCGACGGUGAGGGACGAAAGCUGGGGGAGCGAUCCGGAUUAGAUACCCGGGUAGUCCCAGCUGUAAACUAUGCAGGCUAGGUGUUGGCGUGACCACGAGUCACGCCAGUGCCGCAGGGAAGCUGUUAAGCCUGCCGCCUGGGGAGUACGGUCGCAAGACUGAAACUUAAAGGAAUUGGCGGGGGGGCACCACAAGGGGUGAAGCUUGCGGUUCAAUUGGAGUCAACGCCGGGA